AGUUACAAGACUCACAUUCUCUUUGGCCACAUUCCUAAACUUGAAACUGUCAACAACAAAGAUUUUAUGAAAUAAGAUUUUUUUUUAAUGAAUGGAUUAUCACUGGGGCCCUGGACCUGCACAAUGAACCCACUGCUCCUGGUUACAGAGAGAAAGAAAGACACCUGCAGACCUGCUUUGCCACUUGUGAAGCUUCCCCACUGAAGGUGGGGGGUGGGGGCUUGAACUGGGCCCUUAGGAUGGUGACUUGUGUACUCUUCUGGAUGUGCCACUACCCAACCCCUACAAGUAACAUUCAGAAAGUAAUUACAAUUAUGUUCUGCCUACAAUUAAGACACAGCCAUUUGUUUCAAUAUCAUAUGUUCUUUAUUGUGUGCUGAAAAAUUAUU